rnacentral:sRNA from 1 species
UCAUAAUUUUAUGUGUCUUAUGGUUAUU